GGGUUGUGAGGUUAAGCGACUAAGCGUACACGGUGGAUGCCCUGGCAGUCAGAGGCGAUGAAGGGCGUGCUAAUCUGCGAUAAGCGCCGGUAAGGUGAUAUGAACCGUUAUAACCGGCGAUACCCGAAUGGGGAAACCCAGUGUGAUUCGUCACACUAUCAUUAACUGAAUCCAUAGGUUAAUGAGGCGAACCGGGGGAACUGAAACAUCUAAGUACCCCGAGGAAAAGAAAUCAACCGAGAUUCCCCCAGUAGCGGCGAGCGAACGGGGAGGAGCCCAGAGCCUGAAUCAGCAUGUGUGUUAGUGGAAGCGUCUGGAAAGGCGCGCGAUACAGGGUGACAGCCCCGUACACAAAAGCGUAUGUGCUGUGAGCUCGAUGAGUAGGGCGGGACACGUGGUAUCCUGUCUGAAUAUGGGGGGACCAUCCUCCAAGGCUAAAUACUCCUGACUGACCGAUAGUGAACCAGUACCGUGAGGGAAAGGCGAAAAGAACCCCGGCGAGGGGAGUGAAAAAGAACCUGAAACCGUGUACGUACAAGCAGUGGGAGCACCCUUUGGGGUGUGACUGCGUACCUUUUGUAUAAUGGGUCAGCGACUUAUAUUCUGUAGCAAGGUUAACCGAAUAGGGGAGCCGGAGGGAAACCGAGUCUUAAUUGGGCGUUAAGUUGCAGGGUAUAGACCCGAAACCCGGUGAUCUAGCCAUGGGCAGGUUGAAGGUUGGGUAACACUAACUGGAGGACCGAACCGACUAAUGUUGAAAAAUUAGCGGAUGACCUGUGGCUGGGGGUGAAAGGCCAAUCAAACCGGGAGAUAGCUGGUUCUCCCCGAAAGCUAUUUAGGUAGCGCCUCGUGAAUUCAUCUCCGGGGGUAGAGCACUGUUUCGGCUAGGGGGUCAUCCCGACUUACCAACCCGAUGCAAACUGCGAAUACCGGAGAAUGUUAUCACGGGAGACACACGGCGGGUGCUAACGUCCGUCGUGAAGAGGGAAACAACCCAGACCGCCAGCUAAGGUCCCAAAGUCAUGGUUAAGUGGGAAACGAUGUGGGAAGGCCCAGACAGCCAGGAUGUUGGCUUAGAAGCAGCCAUCAUUUAAAGAAAGCGUAAUAGCUCACUGGUCGAGUCGGCCUGCGCGGAAGAUGUAACGGGGCUAAACCAUGCACCGAAGCUGCGGCAGCGACACUCAGGUGUUGUUGGGUAGGGGAGCGUUCUGUAAGCCUGUGAAGGUGGCCUGUGAGGGUUGCUGGAGGUAUCAGAAGUGCGAAUGCUGACAUAAGUAACGAUAAAGCGGGUGAAAAGCCCGCUCGCCGGAAGACCAAGGGUUCCUGUCCAACGUUAAUCGGGGCAGGGUGAGUCGCCCCCUAAGGCGAGGCCGAAAGGCGUAGUCGAUGGGAAACGGGUUAAUAUUCCCGUACUUGGUGUUACUGCGAAGGGGGGACGGAGAAGGCUAUGUUGGCCGGGCGACGGUUGUCCCGGUUUAAGCGUGUAGGUGUGUGUUCCAGGUAAAUCCGGUUCACUUUAACACUGAGGCGUGAUGACGAGGCACUACGGUGCUGAAGCAACAAAUGCCCUGCUUCCAGGAAAAGCCUCUAAGCAUCAGGUAACAUCAAAUCGUACCCCAAACCGACACAGGUGGUCAGGUAGAGAAUACCAAGGCGCUUGAGAGAACUCGGGUGAAGGAACUAGGCAAAAUGGUGCCGUAACUUCGGGAGAAGGCACGCUGACACGUAGGUGAAGUGAUUUACUCA
rnacentral:rRNA from 1 species